rnacentral:rRNA from 1 species
UAGCAUAUCAAUAAGCGGAGGAAAAGAAACCAACAGGGAUUGCCUCAGUAACGGCGAGUGAAGCGGCAACAGCUCAAAUUUGAAAUCUGGCUCACGCCCGAGUUGUAAUUUGUAGAGGAUGCUUCGGGUGAAGCCACGGUCCAAGUCCCUUGGAACAGGACGUCAUAGAGGGUGAGAACCCCGUACCUGGCCGUCGGUGCCCCCCGCUGUGAAGCUCCUUCGACGAGUCGAGUUGUUUGGGAAUGCAGCUCUAAAUUGGUGGUAAAUUCCAUCUAAAGCUAAAUACCGGCCAGAGACCGAUAGCGCACAAGUAGAGUGAUCGAAAGAUGAAAAGCACUUUGAAAAGAGAGUUAAAAAGUACGUGAAAUUGUUGAAAGGGAAGCGCUUGCGGCCAGACUUGCCCGCGGUUGCUCAGCCCGCCUUUUGGCGGGUGCACUCUUCCGCGGUCAGGCCAGCAUCGGUUUGGGCGGUCGGAUAAAGGCGUUGGGAACGUGGCCUCCCCUCGGGGAGGUGUUAUAGCCCGGCGCGCAAUGCGACCAGCCCGGACCGAGGUUCGCGCUUUGCUAGGAUGCUGGCGUAAUGGCCGUAAGCGGCCCGUCUUGAAACACGGACCAAGGAGUCUAACAUCUAUGCGAGUGUUUGGGUGUCAAACCCGUGCGCGUAAUGAAAGUGAACGGAGGUGGGAACCGCAAGGUGCACCAUCGACCGAUCCUGAUGUCUUCGGAAGGAUUUGAGUAAGAGCAUAGCUGUUGGGACCCGAAAGAUGGUGAACUAUGCGUGAAUAGGGUGAAGCCAGAGGAAACUCUGGUGGAGGCUCGCAGCGGUUCUGACGUGCAAAUCGAUCGUCAAAUUUGCGUAUAGGGGCGAAAGACUAAUCGAACCAUUUAGUAGCUGGUUCCUGCCGAU